rnacentral:lncRNA from 1 species
UACACAUAAUUUCAAAUGUUUAUUUAGCCCUGUUAUUCUGGGCCUUGACUCAGAGCUAAAUAACUACAAACAACACAGCCCUCCAGAACAGUAAAUCAAAGAAACAUUUAUCCCUUUGAGUCAUUUUUUCUCACCCAUUUUGUGACAGUAACAAAGUUUGGCUGACUGAGCGCUCAUGGGCUAGGAUGCAGCUGCCAGCUCCUGAGGCUACGGGCAAGUAAGAUUGAUGAAGCAGGAAUAUUCUUCUGAGAAGCAAAGCAUGCUGGAGGAAUUCUGCAGGGCCAAGGCAGCAAGAUCAAGUAACCCUGGAUUAAGACAUCUGAAGCUGUUUCUUGAAGCAAUGGAGAACUUGAUUGACAGUAGCAUUUUACAGAAGCUCUGGUUAUCAAGAUGUCCAAGGGAAGACCAGGUACGCAGAGGCUGAGGCAGCUGUGGUUCAGGGGAUCUAGGGGACAUCUGGAGCUGGCAGCAGGAUGUGGAACCAUAAUUCACAGGAUGCCAAUGUUGCAUACACGAGUCACAGGGAAAUGCAGGCUCACAUCAAGGUUCUAAAGAGCCCCUGAAGCCAGAAAAUGACUUCGCCCUGUCUUGGUUGCUAUGACAACUAAUGGAGGGUGAUUGUUCUUGCAUGAGAAGCAAUGCACAGAGAGGACAAGGAAUAAGAAGCCGGUCUCUACAGGGGACAGAACCAAGAAGUGGAACGGCCAGGCCUCUGGCCUUGUGUUUCCUUCACCCCUCUUGACUAGGAUCCAUCGAGUCCUGACACCAUCUCACUCUUCUGCUCUGAUGGUCCCUGCAGUGGCCAGUGUGAAGUUUGACAUGUGGUUGGUGACUCUGCCUUACUUCCCAGGCUCCAUCCUCCACCGGCCUGUCUCACAUGACAACCACAUGGGGCAAAGAAGUUGGAGGGACAACAGUGACCAGAGAAGCUGGUAAUCCUGCAGGACGAUCUGGUAAAGGCUG